AACGAACGCUGGCGGCAGGCUUAAUACAUGCAAGUCGAGCGGGCACUUCGGUGUCAGCGGCGCACGGGUGCGUAACGCGUGGGAACAUGCCUUUAGGUACGGAACAACCAAGGGAAACUUUGGCUAAUACCGUAUAAUAUCUCUGGAUCAAAGAUUUAUCGCCUAAAGAUUGGCCCGCGUUAUAUUAGGUAGUUGGUGGGGUAAUGGCCUACCAAGCCGACGAUCUAUAGGGGGUCUGAGAGGAUGAUCCCCCACACUGGAACUGAGACACGGUCCAGACUCCUACGGGAGGCAGCAGUAAGGAAUAUUGGACAAUGGGCGAAAGCCUGAUCCAGCCAUGCCGCGUGAGUGAUGAAGGCCUUAGGGUUGUAAAGCUCUUUUAGAUGGGAAGAUAAUGACUGUACCAUCAGAAUAAGCCCCGGCUAAAUUCGUG
rnacentral:rRNA from 1 species